rnacentral:lncRNA from 1 species
GGGGCUGCUAACAUUGUUCUUCAUCUCCAUUUCCUUAAAGCAAAGUUGAGAUCAUAGAGCAAGGAGUAUGUCCGUAAUAUUUUCUAUAGAAUUGUUGCAAUCAAUGACCCGAUAAAAGGACUCGACCUUUUAGAAGAAUCGAGGAAUCUCUCUACUGAGACGAGGGUGAAGCAAAGAGACCUCAAAACUCAGCUUGAUUCACCACUACGCCAAGAAAAUGUACUCUGAAAGCAACGAUCUCAGAUUUCAUGGUUAAAAGAUGGCGACAAAAAUACAAAAUUUUUUCAUAUUACAGCAAGCAAUCGU